rnacentral:rRNA from 1 species
UGGCUCAGAUUGAACGCUGGCGGCAGGCCUAACACAUGCAAGUCGAACGGUAACAGGAGCAGCUUGCUGCUUGCUGACGAGUGGCGGACGGGUGAGUAAUGUCUGGGAAACUGCCUGAUGGAGGGGGGAUAACUACUGGAAACGGUAGCUAAUACCGCAUAACGUCGCAAGACCAAGGAGGGGGACCUUCGGGCCUCUUGCCAUCAGAUGUGCCCAGAUGGGAUUAGCUUGUUGGUGGGGUAACGGCUCACCAAGGCGACGAUCCCUAGCUGGUCUGAGAGGAUGACCAGCCACACUGGAACUGAGACACGGUCCAGACUCCUACGGGAGGCAGCAGUGGGGAAUAUUGCACAAUGGGCGCAAGCCUGAUGCAGCCAUGCCGCGUGUAUGAAGAAGGCCUUCGGGUUGUAAAGUACUUUCAGCGGGGAGGAAGGUGUUGUGGUUAAUAACCACAGCAAUUGACGUUACCCGCAGAAGAAGCACCGGCUAACUCCGUGCCAGCCGCGGC